UGCUGUCAUCCUGCCCCACCCAGGCAUAUUAAAUAUAUCCCGCGAUACAGGGACGUAUAACAAAGCUUUGCCCAUUUAAGGAAAUCCGGUAUCUUGUGAUUUUCGUUAUGUGAAAAUAACUUGGGGAAUUUUGAGUUGUCGCACUUGUCAGGCUCUAAUGGAGACGAGGUGGUGUGGAGCGCAGGACACUCGCCUGUCCAAACAAGCUGGGGAUGGUGUGUUUUUAAUUUGUUAAAUAGGUGCAUGAGAUAAGUGCAUGAGUAAAUGGAAACGUGCAGAAACGGGUAACAACUGACCUUCAGAGAAUCACCAUGCGAUGGCGGCAGAAUCUCUUAUGACAGAGGAGAUCCAUCGGAUUAUCGGAGGCCAUGUUGGGACCGCAGGUGUCAAGGGCCGACUCAUCCAUAUACUGCAGCUCAUGCAGAAUAAAUGCUUAUUUUCCUUGAAUAAUUGAAUUGGAAAAACAGGAUGGGAUUAAUUCAUCUGUAUAAUUUCCAUUUGCUAUCAUAGUAACCAUCAUAAUCAUUGCCACUAAAAUUGUAUUUUUGUUCCUCUGUUAGACACCAA